UACGUAGGGUGCAAGCGUUGUCCGGAAUUAUUGGGCGUAAAGAGCUCGUAGGCGGUCUGUCGCGUCGGGUGUGAAAGCCCCGGGCUCAACCUGGGAAUUGCAUUCGAGACUGCAUUGCUGGAGUACGGAAGAGGAGGGCGGAAUUCCCGGUGUAGCGGUGAAAUGACGUAGAUAUCGGGAGGAACAUCAGUGGCGAAGGCGGCCCUCUGGUCCAGUACUGACACUCAAGUGC
rnacentral:rRNA from 1 species